rnacentral:rRNA from 1 species
CCUACGGGGGGCAGCAGUCGAGAAUCAUUCACAAUGGGGGAAACCCUGAUGGUGCGACGCCGCGUGGGGGAAUGAAGGUCUUCGGAUUGUAAAGCUCUUUGAUCAGGGACGAACAGAUGACGGUACCUGAAGAACAAGCCCCGGCUAACUACGUGCCAGCAGCCGCGGUAAAACGUAGGGGGCGAGCGUUGUCCGGAAUGACUGGGCGUAAAGGGUGCGUAGGCGGCAUAAUAAGUUAGAAGUGAAAUACCCAGAGCUUAACUCGGGUGCUGCUUCUAAGACUGUUGAGCUUGAGUGCGGGAGAGAUUAAUGGAAUUCCUAGUGUAGCGGUGGAAUGCGUAGAUAUUAGGAGGAACACCAGAGGCGAAGGCGAUUAACUGGACCGUAACUGACGCUGAGGCACGAAAGUGUGGGUAGCAAACAGGAUUAGAUACCCGAGUAGUC